ACGACUAUACUUUCAGGGAUCAUUUCUAUAGUCCAUUCCUAGAGAAGUUUCUCUGAUCACGUAGAGCACUGAGACCAGUAGAAGUUCUACAGAUAUUUGAAAUAUCAGUAACUAUAACAAAUGGG
rnacentral:snoRNA from 1 species